AUUGAACGCUGGCGGCAGGCCUAACACAUGCAAGUCGAGCGGCAGCGGGAAAGUAGCUUGCUACUUUUGCCGGCGAGCGGCGGACGGGUGAGUAAUGCCUGGGGAUCUGCCCAGUCGAGGGGGAUAACUACUGGAAACGGUAGCUAAUACCGCAUACGCCCUACGGGGGAAAGCAGGGGACCUUCGGGCCUUGGCCGAUUGGAUGAACCCAGGUGGGAGUAGCCAGUUGGUGAGGUAAUGGCUCACCAAGGCGACGAUCCCUAGCUGGUCUGAGAGGAUGAGCAGCCACACUGGAACUGAGACACGGUCCAGACUCCUACGGGAGGCAGCAGUGGGGAAUAUUGCACAAUGGGGGAAACCCUGAUGCAGCCAUGCCGCGUGUGUGAAGAAGGCCUUCGGGUUGUAAAGCACUUUCAGCGAGGAGGAAAGGUUGGUAGCUAAUAACUGCCAGCUGUGACGUUACUCGCAGAAGAAGCACCGGCUAACUCCGUGCCAGCCGCCGCGGUAAAAC
rnacentral:rRNA from 1 species